rnacentral:rRNA from 1 species
CCUACGGGAGGCAGCAGUGGGGAAUAUUGCACAAUGGGGGAAACCCUGAUGCAGCGACGCCGCGUGAGCGAUGAAGUAUUUCGGUAUGUAAAGCUCUAUCAGCAGGGAAGAAAAUGACGGUACCUGACUAAGAAGCCCCGGCUAACUACGUGCCAGCAGCCGCGGUAAUACGUAGGGGGCAAGCGUUAUCCGGAUUUACUGGGUGUAAAGGGAGCGUAGACGGCGAUGCAAGCCAGAUGUGAAAGCCCCGGGCUCAACCCCGGGACUGCAUUUGAAACUGUAUAGCUUGAGUGUAGGAGAGGCGGGCGGAAUUCCUAGUGUAGCGGUGAAAUGCGUAGAUAUUAGGAGGAACACCAGUGGCGAAGGCGGCCUGCUGGACGGUGACUGACGUUGAGGCUCGAAAGCGUGGGGAGCAAACAGGAUUAGAUACCCGUGUAGUC